rnacentral:rRNA from 1 species
AUUGAACGCUGGCGGCAUGCUUUACACAUGCCAGUCGAACGGCAGCGCGGGCUUCGGCCUGGCGGCGAGUGGCGAACGGGUGGGUAAUACAUCGGAACGUGCCCAGUAGUGGGGGAUAGCUCGGCGAAAGCCGGAUUAAUACCGCAUACGACCUGAGGGUGAAAGCGGGGGAUCUUCGGACCUCGCGCUAUUGGAGCGGCCGAUGGCAGAUUAGCUAGUUGGUGGGGUAAAGGCCUACCAAGGCGACGAUCUGUAGCUGGUCUGAGAGGACGACCAGCCACACUGGGACUGAGACACGGCCCAGACUCCUACGGGAGGCAGCAGUGGGGAAUUUUGGACAAUGGGCGAAAGCCUGAUCCAGCAAUGCCGCGUAUGUGAUGAAGGCCUUCGGGUUGUAAAGCACUUUUGGCGGGAACGAAAAGGACUGUGCCAAUACCACGGUUCGAUGACGGUACCCGCAGAAUAAGCACCGGCUAACUACGUG